rnacentral:lncRNA from 1 species
AAUUUCCACCAACCAACAAUAACCCAAUUACCCAUUCCCGUUAUUCUCACUUUAUGUCCCUAAAACAACUAACAUAAGGGACCUAGUCUAAGAAUAUUUCAUCGGGGCGACAACACAUGCUUCGGGGGUUCCUCAGCAAUAUAAGUCAAAUAAGGCAACCAUGAGGGGGAUGGAGUACAGCGAAUGAACACCCAAGUUCAUUAACACCUACAGGUGGCGAACCUGCUAAUGUUUCCACAAGACUAUCUAGAAAAGUCCGUGGUCGUCAUCUAAACUCCGCUAGAUGACUAAAUCAAACAACAACGAGGCCUCUCAUCUGUUUAUUACACACCAACUAUCUACCCAUGUUCUACCCAACAUAUUAGUAGAUAAAAAUAUACAUUUUUAUACAUAGUUUAAAAAACCUGUAUAGCAUGCUUUAAUCAAUACAUAUUUCACAUAACAGAUGAGACACACACACACACAUAACACGUAUUUCAUAGAGAAUAAAUCAUAUCUAUGAGAUAGAAGAGAUUGAAUAUACAUUCACACAUAUAACACAAAAUAUACACAUAACACGUAUUUCGUAUAAAAUACUUUAUAAUUAUGUGUUAGAAGAAAGUAACCACACACUCACACCUAUAAACAACAAUAUACUUAAUACACUCACACCGUACUUGUAUCGUGUUUAUGAAAGGUAGUAUACACUCACACCAUACUUGUAUCGUGUUUAUGAAAGGUAGUAUACACUCACUUGAUCAGAAGAUGAUCAGACAGCACUACGGCUUGUAGAAGUAGUAUCUCUCCGCAGAUCUGGAAGAUCUUCACAAAAAUCGAACUUCUCGCGGGCAGAGCUUCGACUCGGGAACCGCACUUUUCGGGAUCUUCAGGAUCUCGGGACUUGCCUCGGGGCUAGAGUAUGAUACCGGGACUUCGGGGUAGCUUCGGGGGUUUUUGCACAGAGCUUCGACACGAAAACGAGAGGGAAUUGGCAAAAAUACCCGGAACCCUCGCAUCCUAUUUAUAGGAGGCUGGAGCCUCGGAGUACGCGGGGCGUACUGCGUUACGCGGGGCGUACUGCCCAAAACGUCAUUGCUUACGUAUCCGAAGUGCUCGAGUGCGAGUGUCGACAUCCCUCGGAGUACGCGGGGCGUACUCGAGUACGCGGGGCGUACCUCGGAUCAGAUCGGUGACUCCUUCGGAUAAUGCUUCCGAAUUUUGAAUUAAAAAUAAAUACAAAAUGAUUAAUAAACUUCGGAAAUUCAUAACUUCUUCAUACGAACUCCGUUUUCGACGUUCUUUAUAUCCACGCGAAGGUGAGACCACGCUCUACGACUUUCGUUUAGACUCCGUCGGCUAAUUUUGACUUUAUUUUUAUUAAUUAUUUUUAAUAGGCCGGGACAGAAACUUUCGUUAUAAAUUCAUAACUUCUUCGUUUGACGUCCGUUCUCGCCUAACUUUUUAUCGUUUCAAUACCAACAAUGAGAUCUUCGAUUCUCAUUUAGAUUGCUUCGGCUAACAACCGCUCGAUCUCAAAUCGAGUAAAACAGGCUGUAUAUCGCUAAGCCGGAACUUCGAUAAAUCAUAACUUCCUCAUACGAAGUCAGAUUUGGGCGUUCUAUAUAUAUUCGGAAACCUCGUUUCAACUACUACAACAUUAACCAAAGAUAUUAAGUUUAUUUUACACUUAAAUUUUGACGCUUAUUUUUAUUCUUAAUUAAUCAAACCACAUAAUUAAGCAAUUAAGCACAAAACACAUAAUACUCAAAUAAUACAAUCUUAUUAUUUCAAAACGGGUUACAAAGGUUAACCUAGACUAUUACAUUGCUAAAAAUGGCAAGCCCGGAAACACAGGCGUUACAAUUCUCUCCACCUUAGAAUGAUUCCGUCCCCGGAAUCACACAUCAACAAACAAAUGCGGAUAGCGACUCAACAUGUCACUCUCCGUCUCCCAGGUGAGAUUCGGCCCAUUCGUGUGUUUCCAUCGGACAAGCACUAACCCAACCAUUUUGCGUCGCAACUUCUUAGUCUUUCGGUCAACAAUUGCCUCUGGUUCUUCAAUCAACCUUUUGUUCUCAUCAAUUCUCAAUUCAGAAAUUGGAAUUAUAUCGGGAACUUCUCCCGUGAACUUCCUCAAAUAACACACAUGAAAGGUGUUGUGAAUUCCAUUCAGUUCUUCGGGUAAUUCGAGCUUGUAAGCUUGAUUCCCAAUCCUCUGAAGGACUUUAAACGGUCCAAUAAACCUUGGACUCAACUUUCCCCUUUUACCAAAUCUUAUAAGUCCCUUCCACGGCGAGACUUUAAGCAAAACCGAAUCUCCAACCUCAAAAGUCAUCGGUCUUCGCUUCUUGUCAGCAUAGCUCUUUUGACGAUCUUGAGCUGCUAACAUUCUUUCCCUAAUUAUUUUCAACUUUUCAGCAGUUUGAUGAACCAUCUCCGGUCCCAUAAACUGCUUUUCCCCAGCCUCAAGCCAACAAGACGGCGUACGACACUUCUGUCCAUACAAAGCUUGAUAAGGUGCCAUCUUAAUGCUCGAGUGAAAACUAUUAUUAUAGGAAAAUUCUACCAACGGUAAAUGUUCAUCCCAAUUACCUAGGAAUUCCAAGGUACAUGCUCUCAGCAUAUCUUCAAGUGUUUGUAUUGUUCUUUCACUCUGACCAUCAGUCUGCGGAUGGUAAGCUGUGCUUAAACAUAACUUGGUACCCAUUUCCUCUUGUAGACUUUUCCAAAACCUUGAGGUGAAACGGCUAUCACGAUCCGAUACAAUCGUUAACGGAACACCGUGAAGCCUCACAAUUUCCUUCACGUAAGAAUUCGCAAGCUUUUCCAUAGACCAUUUCUCCCUGGCCGCUAUGAAAUGCGCACUCUUAGUGAAUCGAUCAACGACCACCCAAAUCAUGUCGUGACCAUUCUUUGUUCUGGGCAGUUUAGUGACAAAAUCCAUAGCAAUGUCUUCCCACUUACCCAUAGGCACAGGCAAUGGUUCUAAACUCCCGUAAGGUUUCUGAUGUUGUGUCUUGACUCUCGCACAAGUCACACACUCGGCCACAUACUUUGCAACAUCAAGCUUCAUCGUCGGCCACCAGUAGUAGGGUUUCAGGUCCCUAUACAUUUUAGUGCUACCCGGAUGAAUUGAGUACAUGGUUUUGUGAGCUUCUUCCAUCAGAAGAUCCCUAAUUCCUCCUGACUUAGGUACCCAAAUACGAUCUUGGAAUACCUUCAGUCCAUGACCGUUAGUACCAAACACCAACGUUUUACCCAAACGUUCCUCCUUUCGGUCAUUUUUCUCAGAAGCUUCCUCUUGAGCUUUCUUUAUACUUUCCACAAUAGUCGAGACAACUUCAAUUCUCAACGCUCUUGGCCUCUUCCUUUCAAGAUUGACUUUCCGACUGAGAGCAUCAGCAACAACAUUAGCUUUACCGGGGUGGUAAAGUAUCUCGCAGUCGUAGUCUUUAAGUAAUUCUAGCCAGCGUCGUUGCCUCAUAUUCAAUUCUUUCUGAUUAAAGAGGUAUUGGAGACUCUUAUGAUCAGUGAAAAGUUUGCACUUCGUGCCAUAGAGGUAAUGCCUCCAUAUUUUCAGAGCGAAAACUACCGCUGCCAACUCCAAAUCAUGAGUCGGGUAAUUCUUUUCAUGCUCUUUCAGCUGUCGAGACGCAUAUGCUAUCACCUUUUCUCUUUGGGUCAAAACACAACCCAAUCCAACACCAGACGCAUCGCUAUAAACAGCGAAGUCUUCAACUCCAUCGGGUAGAGAAAGUAUCGGUGCCUCGCAUAGCUUCUUCUUUAACUUCUCGAAUGCUUCUUUAUGCUUCUCACUCCAAGCAUAAGUAGCUCCUUUGUGGGUCAAAGCUGUUAAUGGAGUAGCAAUCGAAGAAAAGCCUUGGAUAAACCUUCGGUAAUAUCCGGCUAAUCCUAAAAAGCUUCGAAUCUCCGUGGGACUUUUCGGUUGUUCCCACUUCGUCACAGCUUCGAUCUUCGCUGGAUCAACCAUUAUCCCUUCUUGGUUGACCACGUGACCCAAGAAUUGGACCUCACGAAUCCAAAAAUCACAUUUGGAGAACUUCGCAUAAAGCUUCUCCUUCUUCAAAACUUCUAACACUUCUCGCAAGUGUCUGCCAUGCUCCUCCUGGCUUUUCGAGUAGAUCAGAAUGUCGUCUAUGAACACUAUCACGGAUUUAUCAAGGAAAGGAUUACAAACCCUAUUCAUCAAAUCCAUGAACGCUGCUGGAGCAUUGGUUAGUCCAAACGACAUAACCAAGAACUCGUAGUGUCCAUAUCUAGUUCUGAAUGCAGUCUUCUCGAUAUCUUGCUCUCUUACUUUCAGCUGAUGAUAUCCUGACCUAAGAUCGAUCUUCGAGAAAUAGCUCGAACCUUGCAAUUGAUCAAACAGGUCAUCAAUCCUCGGCAACGGAUAUCUAUUCUUUAUUGUUGCCUUGUUCAGCUCUCUGUAAUCGAUGCACAUUCUCAUACUUCCAUCUUUCUUCUUUACAAAUAACACCGGAGCUCCCCAGGGCGAUGAACUAGGUCUAAUGAAACCUUUGUCCAAUAACUCCUGAAGUUGCAUCAUCAGCUCCUUCAUCUCCGUCGGUGCUAAUCGAUAAGGUGCUUUUGCUAUUGGCGUGGUUCCUGGUAACAAGUCUAUUCUGAACUCCACUUGUCUAUCAGGUGGUAAUCCAGGAAGAUCCUCGGGAAAUACUUCCGGAUAAUCACACACCACUGGAAUACUCUGCAUCACCUUCUUUUCUUUCUUAGCAUCAAUCACGAAUGCUAAAUAUGAUGUACAUCCCUUGGUCAAACACUUUCUGGCUUUCAUUAGAGAAAUGAUUCCAGAAUUCACUCUGCGUUUGUCCCCAUACACCAUAAACGAAUCUUUCCCAGGCGGGUUUACUUUAACUAUCUUCUUCUUGCACAAAAUUUCGGCAUCAUUGGCGCUAAGCCAAUCCAUUCCCAAGACGAUGUCGAAACCAUUUAGUUCGAUAGGCAAUAAUUCCUCGAGAAACUUAUUCCCAUUAAGGUCGAUCAAGACGUUUUUCAUACGAUGGCUAACAGGUACAAACUUGCCACUAGCUACUUCGACUAAUAAAGCAUUAUUUAGUCUAUCAACAGGCAAAGCUAGCUUUCUACCAAACUCAUGCGAAAUAAAGGAGUAGUUGGCUCCAGAAUCAAACAAUAUAUGAGCAGGUAAUUCGUUUACGAGAAAGGUACCUGAAGCGACAUCAGCUUCAUCUUUCGCAGCCUCAAGUGUCAUCUGGAAGGCUCUCGCCUUCGGCUUUGGUGGAAUGUUGGGCCUAGCUGCCUCCUUCUUCUUCGGACAGUCUUUCAAAAUAUGCCCCUCUUCAUUACACCCAAAACACAUCCUUUUGUUGUUCGGACAUUCAUUGGCAAAAUGUCCAACCUUUCCACACUUGUAGCAGGUUACAUCCUCGCUACAUUUCCCAAAGUGCUUUUUCCUACACUUAUCACACCACUUCGCUUCGCCUCCUUUUCCUCCAAACUUUUUCGAAUCAAAUUUCGAAAAUUUACUCUUCUUACUGGAACCAGAUGUUCCUUCAAACUUCCUUUUCUCACCAACCUCAACCUUGACGGUGGUUCUCCCCUUGAUCAUGUUCUCCACAGACUUGGCAGCCCAGAUAGCUGCCUCUAGAGUAAGUGCCUGACGUACCGGCACCUCGUACUCCCAUGGAAGUCCCUUCGCAUACCGAUCCACCUUUGUCAGCUCGUCUGGAACGAUACGCAAGGCAAACUCCAUCUUAUCGGUGAAGUUAUUGGUGUACUCAUCCACUGACAUGCUACCCUUCGUCAAUGUCAAAAACUUGUUCUCCAACUCCAACAGAUUUUGAGCCGAGCAGAACUUGCGCUUGAACUGCACCAAGAACUCUGCCCAUGACAAUUGCAGUGGCUCAUUAGGGCUUAAGGUCUUCCCUAGAGUGUUCCACCAACGAACAGCUCCACCUCGGAAUUGACGCACGGCAUAGAUAGUUUGCAACUUACCUCUGCAGCCACACGUCAUGAAGGCUAGCUCCAUUUCGGAGAUCCAAUCCAUAACCCCAAUCGGAUCCUCCUUUCCAUUGAAGGUCGAUGGUUUACAAGUCAAAAAGUCCUUGUACUUGCAUCCCAUUCCAUCAUUCCUUCCAUCAUGGUUAUCUUGCCUAACUAUCGGUGGGUUGGCUGGACCAACAGACCCACUGAAGUUUCCACCUUCCGAGUGCCCUUCAUUUAAUUCAGGCUCUUCCACACGAAUCGACAGUUCUUCACGAUUUUGUUGAAGCAACCGUCUAGUUUCAUCCAUCUGACGAUCCAACAUCGUCUGAAUCAUCAAUUGCACACCAGCCAUGGUUAUUGGCUCAGGUGCUGCUGCUACGACAGGUAUUGGCUCAAUCACUGGUGGUUGAUUCCUGUUUUCGUCAGCAUUUCCAACUCCACUUCUUGUUCUCACCAUUUUGAUCUACACCGAAUAAGGUGAAAUUAGAUCCUCAAUCAUGAUAGAUAUUCAAAUCAUCCUUAUCACUCCGAAACGUUUACAUGCUAGUUCUAAUAUCGUAGACGUACGCUUAGAAUCCUACACACAUAAGGUUUCUAGAUCCGGUCGGCAACAGACCAUAGAUCCGAACAAAUAAUAUCAUAUAUGGCAACAUAUAACAUUUAGCACAUAAAGCAUUUUAGGCAACUUUCCUAAAAUAAACUAGUGCUCGUGUCUAAAAUAUCACAGACACACAUCUCAAAAUUUCACUUAGCAUUCUAAGUUUAAGUCUAGAAAUCCUACAAAUUCCUAGUUCGCUUAAACUAAUGCUCUGAUACCAUCUGUGACAUCCCCAAAAUCUCGGCCAGAAAAGACCGAUUUUCAUUUAUGCUUUUAAAAUAAUUUCAGAGUAAAUCCUUUUGAUUUGAAAGAGUUGCGGAAUUUGUUCCCAAAAACAAAACAUGAUAAAACAAUGUUUACCAAAGCAUUUCAUAAAAGAAAUGUAUUUUCAUUAUAUAAUCAAAACUCGGGGUGUCAUGUUCCGAUACAGACCAAUAAGCAUAAACGAUAACAUUACAAGUCAUUCAACAAAUAUAUACAUAUACAGACUUGUAAACAAAACAACUUGAUGGUUCAUCCAUCUUAUGCCCUCGCGCCACUUCCUGUAAUACAAAUAAAACUGAGUGGGUCAGGCUUGGGAGCCUGGUGAGCAUAUAGGGUUUUCAACCCACAAUAAAUAAUUAUAUUUAAUUUCCACCAACCAACAAUAACCCAAUUACCCAUUCCCGUUAUUCUCACUUUAUGUCCCUAAGACAACUAACAUAAGGGACCUAGUCUAAGAAUAUUUCAUCGGGGCGACAACACAUGCUUCGGGGGUUCCUUAGCAAUAUAAGUCAAAUAAGGCAACCAUGAGGGGGAUGGAGUACAAUGAAUGAACACCUAAGUUCAUUAACACCUACAGGUGGUGAACCUGCUAAUGUUCCACAAGACUAUCUAGAAAAGUCCGUGGUCAUCAUCUAAACUCCGCUACAUGACUAAAUCAAACAACA